rnacentral:lncRNA from 1 species
GUAAGAAAAGUGAGGUACAGAGAAGUUCAGUGACUCAUCCCCGCGCACUCGGCUCCAACACGGGCUCCAACUCAGGUCCAGGAUCUUGAGUUCCUCCUGGAUCCUCUGUCUGGACAGCCAAGGAGCAAAUAGAAAGUGGAAAAGACAUACUAUUUGUUAACCGCCUUGGCCCUGGGAUGACACAUCCCUUCCAAUCACACAGUGCAGUUUAUUGUACAUAAACAUUGUACAUACCAAUUUAUUGCUUCUGGUAUGGAGGAAGAAAUGAGAAGCAUGAGA